GAUGAAGAACGUAGCAAAAUGCGAUAAGUAAUGUGAAUUGCAGAAUUCAGUGAAUCAUCGAAUCUUUGAACGCACAUUGCGCCCGCCAGUAUUCUGGCGGGCAUGCCUGUUCGAGCGUCAUUAUCAACCCUCAAGCCCCUUUGGCUUGGUGUUGGAGACUGGCGGGGCGCAUGCGCCCGGAGCCACUCCCAAAUACAAUGACGGCGGCGACGAUGACCCCCGGUACACUGAGCUUCUCACCGAGCACGUGCUGGAAGGGUCUUGUGGCCACGGUCUGCCUCCCCUCUGGGAGAAACGGAUUUCAUCCACCAAGGUUGACCUCGGAUCAGGUAGGGAUACCCGCUGAACUUAAGCAUAUCAAUAAGCGGAGGA
rnacentral:misc_RNA from 1 species